AGAAUAACUUUUGUCUCAAAAAGAAUUAACCUUUCUCCUCCAGCCAUUGCCGGCGGCGCCCCCAUCCGCGGCGAAGUCGCCGGUGAAGUUGGUCAUCUGGCCGCAGGGCAUUUCUGUCGCCAUAUCUGGCGCCCAGUACCACGUAUUUCUACCGCGCUCCAUCAGCAGCCGCGCCGCCCCUAAUCGCCGGCCUCCAGCGAGGGGAACCGCGUUGGAGUAGGGACAAGCAUGGCAGGUCAAGGAUAAGGUUUGGGAUGAACCACAUGAAGCGUCAGGCAGGUCAAUAUAACCUCUAUAUUGCAAUUUACGCGAUGAUUUGGUGCAACGGCAUUGCAUUAUAUGAGGCUCAGAAGCUGCUUGGAAUCAGCUCAAGACCAAGACGUCUUUACUGACGAAAAUGUCUUAUUCACAAUGAUGGUUCUGCGGUUCCCGUGCAACAGAGAAGGAUGGCCAGAGCCUUGUUAUCUUGGGUUCUCUGGCCAAUAUGUAAAGAAUGCAAACUAGGCAUCUUAGUAUCUCUGGAGUACUGGAGCAGCAACCUUGAGUUAACAGUUGAUUAGGUCCUUGAAGUGCCUCCCUCGCUGGUAAAUACGGUUACAGGGCUGGGAUAGUGUUAGGUUUAGAAGAACCUCAUGGGGGAAAGCCCAGGAAAUAUGGAUCAAGAUCGAAGAUCUGUGUGGCACUGUGACCUUAAUCGAUGAAAAUGAUAUUUGUGUGUAGCUACUGGACAGAUCUGGGCAAUUUACAGUUAGGUUAUGAACUUUGCAAGCUAAAUUUUAAUCUGAGUUCCUCCUCCAACUCACAUCUUUGCAAGCUAAGAAUCUGAAUUCUUUGUAUUGAAAAUGUAGCAAAAUCCUUUCACAGUCAGUGGAAGGAAGAAUAAACACCUCAUCAAUUAUCAACACUUUUUGGUUAUCUGGGAUGUUUAAGAAAGAGCAAAAAUUUAUCAAUGAGUGUACAUUUUACAGUUUUCUUGUAACGGCUUACAAUAGGUUUGAGCUACCUUUUCUCCUUUUGAGGAAAUCAAGCUGUACCUAAUGUCAUAAAAACCAAGUUUGACAUGCUGCAGAACAUAAAGGCACUUGCGGUAACUAACAUAUACC